rnacentral:misc_RNA from 1 species
GAUGAAGAACGUAGCGAAAUGCGAUAAGUAAUGUGAAUUGCAGAAUUCAGUGAAUCAUCGAAUCUUUGAACGCACAUUGCGCCCGCCAGUAUUCUGGCGGGCAUGCCUGUUCGAGCGUCAUUUCAACCCUCAAGCCCAGCUUGGUGUUGGGGAUCGGCACAGGCGCCCUCGGGCGCCCGCCGUCCCCUAAAUCUAGUGGCGGUCCCGCUGCAGCCUCCUCUGCGUAGUAGUUUUCUCCUCGCAAGGGCAGCUCGGUGGCGACCUCGCCGUAAAACCCCCAACUUCUGAAAGGUUGACCUCGAAUCAGGUAGGAAUACCCGCUGAACUUAAGCAUAGCAAUAAGCGGAGGA